ensembl:rRNA 5S_rRNA 5S ribosomal RNA
GCUUACGGCCACACCGCCUGGUUCACGCCCCAUCUCGGAAGCUAAGAUAGGUUGGGCCUGGUUAGUACUUGGAUGGGAGACCGCCUGGGAAUACCAGGUUGCUGUAAGCU